AACGAACGCUGGCGGCAUGCCUAACACAUGCAAGUCGAACGAGACCUUCGGGUCUAGUGGCGCACGGGUGCGUAACGCGUGGGAACCUGCCCUUAGGUUCGGAAUAACUCCCCGAGAGGGGUGCUAAUACCGGAGAAUGUCUUCGGACCAAAGAUUUAUCGCCAUUGGAUGGGCCCGCGUUGGAUUAGCGAGUUGGUAGGGUAAAAGCCUACCAAGGCGACGAUCCAUAGCUGGUCUGAGAGGAUGAUCAGCCACACUGGGACUGAGACACGGCCCAGAAUCCUACGGGAGGCAGCAGUGGGGAAUAUUGGACAAUGGGCGAAAGCCUGAUCCAGCAAUGCCGCGUGAGUGAUGAAGGCCUUAGGGUUGUAAAGCUCUUUUACCCGGGAUGAUAAUGACAGUACCGGGAGAAUAAGCUCCGGCUAACUCCGUG
rnacentral:rRNA from 1 species